GAAUGCAUCUAGAUUCAAAGGUCGUCCUUGUGGCGUGCCUGGAGUCGUGCUUCCUAUCUUCCGGUUAGUGGGGUCAAACUCGCUACCGAUCGUUUACUUUGAAAAAAUUAGAGUGUUCAAAGCAGGCGUAACCUUGCCAUUGAAUAUUACAGCAUGGGAUAAUAGAAUAUGACGUUCGGUCUUAUUUUGUUGGUUUCUAAGGCUGAUGUA
rnacentral:rRNA from 1 species